UGGGGAAUCUUGGACAAUGGGCGCAAGCCUGAUCCAGCGACGCCGCGUGGGUGAUGAAGGCCCUCGGGUUGUAAAGCCCUUUCGCCGGGGACGAUGAUGACGGUACCCGGUAAAGAAGCACCGGCUAACUCCGUGCCAGCAGCCGCGGUAAGACGGAGGGUGCUAGCGUUGUUCGGAAUCACUGGGCGUAAAGGGCGCGUAGGCGGCCACCCAAGUCGGGCGUGAAAGCCCGGGGCUCAACCCCGGAACUGCGCACGAAACUGGGCGGCUCGAGGCCGGAAGAGGGGAGUGGAAUACCCAGUGUAGAGGUGAAAUUCGUAGAUAUUGGGUGGAACACCGGUGGCGAAAGCGGCUCCCUGGUCCGGUCCUGACGCUGAGGCGCGAAAGCGUGGGGAGCGAACAGGAUUAGAUACCCCCGUAGUCC
rnacentral:rRNA from 1 species